UACGUAGGUUGCGAGCGUUGUUCGGAUUCAUUGGGCGUAAAGGGUGCGUAGGCGGCGCGGUAAGUCGGGUGUGAAAUCUUGGAGCUUAACUCCGAAACUGCAUUCGAUACUGCCGUGCUUGAGGACUGGAGAGGAGACUGGAAUUUACGGUGUAGCGGUGAAAUGCGUAGAUAUCGUAAGGAAGACCAGUGGCGAAGGCGGGUCUCUGGACAGUUCCUGACGCUGAGGCACGAAGGCCAGGGGAGCAAACGGG
rnacentral:rRNA from 1 species